rnacentral:rRNA from 1 species
AUUGAACGCUGGCGGCAGGCCUAACACAUGCAAGUCGAGCGGACGAAGGGAGCUUGCUCCUGGAUUCAGCGGCGGACGGGUGAGUAAUGCCUAGGAAUCUGCCUGGUAGUGGGGGAUAACGUCCGGAAACGGGCGCUAAUACCGCAUACGUCCUGAGGGAGAAAGUGGGGGAUCUUCGGACCUCACGCUAUCAGAUGAGCCUAGGUCGGAUUAGCUAGUUGGUGGGGUAAAGGCCUGCCAAGGCGACGAUCCGUAACUGGUCUGAGAGGAUGAUCAGUCACACUGGAACUGAGACACGGUCCAGACUCCUACGGGAGGCAGCAGUGGGGAAUAUUGGACAAUGGGCGAAAGCCUGAUCCAGCCAUGCCGCGUGUGUGAAGAAGGUCUUCGGAUUGUAAAGCACUUUAAGUUGGGAGGAAGGGCAGUAAGUUAAUACCUUGCUGUUUUGACGUUACCAACAGAAUAAGCACCGGCUAACUUCGUG